ensembl:snRNA
GUGUUGUAUGAAAGGAGAAAGCACUCCCCUUGACAAGGAUGGAAGAGGCCCUCAGGCCUGACAACAGGCACACAGUUAAGGCACUGAGAACUACUUCAUGGCUUCUAACCAUCAUUUUAA